rnacentral:rRNA from 1 species
UAAUACGUAAGGGGCAAGCGUUGUCCGGAAUCACUGGGCGUAAAGCGCGCGUAGGCGGUUUGGUAAGUCGGGUGUGAAAUCCCCGGGCUCAACCCGGGAACUGCGCCCGAAACUGCCUCACUGGAGGGACGGAGAGGUACACGGAAUUCCCGGUGUAGGGGUGAAAUCCAUAGAGAUCGGGAGGAACACCAAUGGCGAAGGCAGUGUACUGGACGUCACCUGACGCUGAGGUGCGAAAGCGUGGGGAGCGAACGGGAUUAGAUACCCCGGUAGUCCACGCCGUAAACGAUGGGCACUAGGUUUGGGAGGCUUCGACCCCUUCCGAGCCGUCGCUAACGCAUUAAGUGCCCCGCCUGGGGAGUACGACCGCAAGGUUA